AUUUUAACUGAAAAAUUAAGUAGCUUGCUCAAAAUUGUUCAAUAGAAGGACUCAGCUGGGGUUUGAGUACAGAUCUAGCUUGAGAACUUUUAACACGGUGAGUGAGCUAAAAGUCUCUGGAAGUGAUCCAGAAUUGUAUUUUGCAGUCAUGUGACUUAGAAAAUGAACAAGAACACGAGGGGUUCUGUUUUCUUUCUCAGAUCAGGUCAGCAUUGGUGUUUUCCGGGUGAUGCACCUUGUCAAGCCCUACAAGCUGUCAAAACACCUUCCUGAGUCCCAUGGGGGAAGGAGGUCUACCACUGAAGACUCCUCUGGGGAACUGAACCAGCUUCUCCCACCUUCCUCCCCGCCCCCCUCGGAUGACUUUUCCUCACCCUCAGCCUCUGACCAGUGAGACCGGGGAAACUAGACUUCAUUGUUCUGCUUUAUCUGUAGCACUACUGAUAAUGAAUCCUCUGUUAGCCUGGAUCCAAUUCUGUAGUCUUGGUUCCAGGAUUAUCUCUUGAUUGGAUGCUGAUUGUAUAUGUUUGUUUGUUUUUUAAAAAACCAUGAUGAAAAUUUACCUUAUUAUUUA